rnacentral:rRNA from 1 species
UACUCGAGUGGCGAACGGGUGAGUAACACGUGGGUGAUCUGCCCUGCACUUUGGGAUAAGCCUGGGAAACUGGGUCUAAUACCGAAUACACCUUGCUGGAUGCAUGUCUGGUGGGGGAAAGCUUUUGCGGUGUGGGAUGGGCCCGCGGCCUAUCAGCUUGUUGGUGAGGUUACGGCUCACCAAGGCGACGACGGGUAGCCGGCCUGAGAGGGUGUCCGGCCACACUGGGACUGAGAUACGGCCCAGACUCC